UACGGAGGGAGCUAGCGUUGUUCGGAAUUACUGGGCGUAAAGCGUGCGUAGGUGGUUCGUUAAGUCUGAUGUGAAAGCCCUGGGCUCAACCUGGGAACUGCAUUCAAAACUGACUGACUAGAGUAUGGUAGAGGGUGGUGGAAUUUCCUGUGUAGCGGUGAAAUGCGUAGAUAUAGGAAGGAACACCAGUGGCGAAGGCGACCACCUGGACUGAUACUGACACUGAGGUGCGAAAGCGUGGGGAGCAAACAGG
rnacentral:rRNA from 1 species